UACGAAGGUGGCUAGCGUUGUUCGGAUUUAUUGGGCGUAAAGAGCUCGUAGGCGGCUUAGCAAGUCGGGGUGUGAAAACUCCAGGCUCAACCUGGGAGACGCCACUCGAGACUGCUAUGGCUAGAGUCCGGUAGGGGACCACGGGAAUUCAUGGUGUAGCAGUGAAAUGCGUAGAGAUCAUGAGGAAGACCAGUGGCGAAGGCGGGUCGUCUGGACAGUUCCUGACACUGAGGCACGAAGGCCAGGGGAGCAAACGGG
rnacentral:rRNA from 1 species